rnacentral:piRNA from 1 species
UAUCCGGUCCGGCCAAGUACUGCAGAUGC